GACGAACGCUGGCGGCGUGCCUAAUACAUGCAAGUCGAACGCUGAAGGCGGAGCUUGCUCUUCUGGAUGAGUUGCGAACGGGUGAGUAACGCGUAGGUAACCUGCCUGGUAGCGGGGGAUAACUUUUGGAAACGAUAGCUAAUACCGCAUAACAGUAGAUGUUGCAUGACGUUUACUUAAAAGGUGCAAUUGCAUCACUACCAGAUGGACCUGCGGUGUAUUAGCUAGUUGGUGGGGUAAAGGCACACCAAGGCGACGAUACAUAGCCGACCUGAGAGGGUGGUCGGCCACACUGAGACGGGGACACGGCCCAGUGGCCCACGGGAGGGAGCAGGAGGGAAUCGUCGGCAAGGGGCGGAAAACUGACCGAGCAACGCCGCGGGAGGGAAGAAGGAUGUCGGAUGGGAAAGCUCGGUUGUAAGAGAAGAACGAGUGUGAGAGUGGGAAGUUCACACUGUGACGGUAACUGACCAGAAAGCAACGGCUAGCUACGUG
rnacentral:rRNA from 1 species